UACGUAGGGCGCAAGCGUUAUCCGGAAUUAUUGGGCGUAAAGAGCUCGUAGGCGGUUUGUCGCGUCUGCCGUGAAAGUCCGGGCUCAACUCCGGAUCUGCGGUGGGUACGGGCAGACUAGAGUGAUGUAGGGGAGACUGGAAUUCCUGGUGUAGCGGUGAAAUGCGCAGAUAUCAGGAGGAACACCGGUGGCGAAGGCGGGUCUCUGGGCCGAUACUGACGUGAGGAGCGAAAGCGUGGGGAGCAACGG
rnacentral:rRNA from 1 species